CUUUGGCCAUAUUGCGUCAGCGCGGUGAUCAUCGCUCGCUUUGAAAGCAAGUGAAGUUAGCUUCCAAUAUGUAAAAUAACUGGGAUUUUUACACAAGUCACACAGCGACCCCAAUAAAAUGGAGCCUCUAAAAUCAUCAGACAAAUCUGGCAGGCAUAACCCACGUCGCAAUCACUCCCGUCAUAGGCACAGACACGGUGAACGUGAGCCCAAAGACAACAUGAGGGACACUUCAUAUGAUGGCAGGGACAGCAGGCAGUCACGUAGACGCAGGGCAGACUAAAAUGAUGAUUCUCAGUCCAGAACCGAGAAGCCUCCCAGCCGGGGUAGAAUGCCCGAUCGCCAAAAGGAUAAGAAAAGAGCCUAUCAUUCCUCCUCCUCAAGGUCAAGACACAGGAGCAGAGACAGAACCAGAGCUUCAUCCACAAGAAAGGGCCCUUCAAAAAGCAGUGAGACGUCCCGUGGGAAGAAACGUGGGAAGAAACGUGGGAAAAACGCGCAAGGAAAAGAAAGGUUUCCAAAGCUUGGAAUCUCUAUGGGUAAAUUCCUGUGCCUGAGAAAUCAAGCGGGGAUGUUGAACAUUCCAGCAGACAAACUGAUCUUAAUGCAGAUGAAGGAUUGUCUAGAACUCACCAAUGGGACGAAGAUAGGACUUUGAGACCACAAGAUUCUAGACACGAGUCUGGAAAUUGUUCUUCAAAAGAACACCUUGAAGUAGAGAAAUCUUCCAGGGACAACAAUGGCAUGUUUGACUGGAAGAGGCACAGACGGGAGCUGGAUGCAAUAUGUUUUAGGGAUGACAGUACACAUAUUAUCAAAAGGCCUACCAUGAUUUUUGGAAGUUUCUUGAGCGCUACCAAGAUUUUCAACUCAAGCUGAGUGCCAGUGAGCCACAUCGAGAUGAUGAAGAUGAGUUAACCACUGAACGCAUCAAGAAAUUCAGUAAGGUGCUUGUUACGAACCCACUUAUGCUAUAAUCCUUUAGUACGGUUUGCUCCUGCACUAGAAAUUUUGGUAUUUAAUGAAAUAUGUUAUGGUGGCUACGUGCGGGUAAAUACCCUAUACAUGUAUAAGCACUGACUGGCUUUUAUUCGCUCUCAGUUGGUGCCCAUGUACAACCAUUAUGUGCGAUUUCCAUUAGCGCGUCGUUGAGCCAGCAUAUCCCGCCGUUCCUACCGAGCUAUGUACCCCUCAUCGCUGGAUCGUGGCCGAGGCUGACGGUACUACCGGACGGAGACCUGGACUGUCGUGGCCCGCCUGAUGUGGCAGACCUCCUGGGCUUCAACGCCGACUAUUCUGUGGCUUGGCUGAUCUACGGCCGGGUGCGGAGAUGUUUGGUUUGACGGUUUCGCUAAUACCGUUGUGGGCACUGGCUGGGCAGGGCCUGUUCCUGCUACUGGUUCCUUAUUGGUAAUUAUACUCGGCCGAAUACAACUUGCCUUUGUUGUUUUACUUAUUAACUCUAUUUUGCCGGCUUGUUCUUUAUUGUAUUAUGCCUGUUUGUGUAAUUUGCUGCUUUGCUAAUUUCUUUGUAAUUCAUUUUGUUUGCCUAUAUGAUGCCUUGGGGUUCUUGCAUGAAGUUGCAGACUAACUGAGAAAGUUUGUUGUAUCACACACUGUCCUAUUGAUUGAUUUGGGAGAAUUAAUUAAAUUUUGUUAGUCAUA